rnacentral:rRNA from 1 species
GUCUGGAAAGGCGCGCGAUACAGGGUGACAGCCCCGUACACAAAAAUGCACAUACUGUGAGCUCGAUGAGUAGGGCGGGACACGUGGUAUCCUGUCUGAAUAUGGGGGGACCAUCCUCCAAGGCUAAAUACUCCUGACUGACCGAUAGUGAACCAGUACCGUGAGGGAAAGGCGAAAAGAACCCCGGCGAGGGGAGUGAAAAAGAACCUGAAACCGUGUACGUACAAGCAGUGGGAGCACAGAGCAAUCUGUGUGACUGCGUACCUUUUGUAUAAUGGGUCAGCGACUUAUAUUCUGUAGCAAGGUUAACCGAAUAGGGGAGCCGAAGGGAAACCGAGUCUUAACUGGGCGUUAAGUUGCAGGGUAUAGACCCGAAACCCGGUGAUCUAGCCAUGGGCAGGUUGAAGGUUGGGUAACACUAACUGGAGGACCGAACCGACUAAUGUUGAAAAAUUAGCGGAUGACUUGUGGCUGGGGGUGAAAGGCCAAUCAAACCGGGAGAUAGCUGGUUCUCCCCGAAAGCUAUUUAGGUAGCGCCUCGUGAAUUCAUCUCCGGGGGUAGAGCACUGUUUCGGCAAGGGGGUCAUCCCGACUUACCAACCCGAUGCAAACUGCGAAUACCGGAGAAUGUUAUCACGGGAGACACACGGCGGGUGCUAACGUCCGUCGUGAAGAGGGAAACAACCCAGACCGCCAGCUAAGGUCCCAAAGUCAUGGUUAAGUGGGAAACGAUGUGGGAAGGCCCAGACAGCCAGGAUGUUGGCUUAGAAGCAGCCAUCAUUUAAAGAAAGCGUAAUAGCUCACUGGUCGAGUCGGCCUGCGCGGAAGAUGUAACGGGGCUAAACCAUGCACCGAAGCUGCGGCAGCGACGCUUAUGCGUUGUUGGGUAGGGGAGCGUUCUGUAAGCCUGUGAAGGUGUACUGUGAGGUAUGCUGGAGGUAUCAGAAGUGCGAAUGCUGACAUAAGUAACGAUAAAGCGGGUGAAAAGCCCGCUCGCCGGAAGACCAAGGGUUCCUGUCCAACGUUAAUCGGGGCAGGGUGAGUCGACCCCUAAGGCGAGGCCGAAAGGCGUAGUCGAUGGGAAACAGGUUAAUAUUCCUGUACUUGGUGUUACUGCGAAGGGGGGACGGAGAAGGCUAUGUUGGCCGGGCGACGGUUGUCCCGGUUUAAGCGUGUAGGCUGGUUUUCCAGGCAAAUCCGGAAAAUCAAGGCUGAGGCGUGAUGACGAGGCACUACGGUGCUGAAGCAACAAAUGCCCUGCUUCCAGGAAAAGCCUCUAAGCAUCAGGUAACAUCAAAUCGUACCCCAAACCGACACAGGUGGUCAGGUAGAGAAUACCAAGGCGCUUGAGAGAACUCGGGUGAAGGAACUAGGCAAAAUGGUGCCGUAACUUCGGGAGAAGGCACGCUGAUAUGUAGGUGAAGUCCCUCGCGGAUGGAGCUGAAAUCAGUCGAAGAUACCAGCUGGCUGCAACUGUUUAUUAAAAACACAGCACUGUGCAAACACGAAAGUGGACGUAUACGGUGUGACGCCUGCCCGGUGCCGGAAGGUUAAUUGAUGGGGUUAGCGCAAGCGAAGCUCUUGAUCGAAGCCCCGGUAAACGGCGGCCGUAACUAUAACGGUCCUAAGGUAGCGAAAUUCCUUGUCGGGUAAGUUCCGACCUGCACGAAUGGCGUAAUGAUGGCCAGGCUGUCUCCACCCGAGACUCAGUGAAAUUGAACUCGCUGUGAAGAUGCAGUGUACCCGCGGCAAGACGGAAAGACCCCGUGAACCUUUACUAUAGCUUGACACUGAACAUUGAGCCUUGAUGUGUAGGAUAGGUGGGAGGCUUUGAAGUGUGGACGCCAGUCUGCAUGGAGCCGACCUUGAAAUACCACCCUUUAAUGUUUGAUGUUCUAACGUUGACCCGUAAUCCGGGUUGCGGACAGUGUCUGGUGGGUAGUUUGACUGGGGCGGUCUCCUCCUAAAGAGUAACGGAGGAGCACGAAGGUUGGCUAAUCCUGGUCGGACAUCAGGAGGUUAGUGCAAUGGCAUAAGCCAGCUUGACUGCGAGCGUGACGGCGCGAGCAGGUGCGAAAGCAGGUCAUAGUGAUCCGGUGGUUCUGAAUGGAAGGGCCAUCGCUCAACGGAUAAAAGGUACUCCGGGGAUAACAGGCUGAUACCGCCCAAGAGUUCAUAUCGACGGCGGUGUUUGGCACCUCGAUGUCGGCUCAUCACAUCCUGGGGCUGAAGUAGGUCCCAAGGGUAUGGCUGUUCGCCAUUUAAAGUGGUACGCGAGCUGGGUUUAGAACGUCGUGAGACAGUUCGGUCCCUAUCUGCCGUGGGCGCUGGAGAACUGAGGGGGGCUGCUCCUAGUACGAGAGGACCGGAGUGGACGCAUCACUGGUGUUCGGGUUGUCAUGCCAAUGGCACUGCCCGGUAGCUAAAUGCGGAAGAGAUAAGUGCUGAAAGCAUCUAAGCACGAAACUUGCCCCGAGAUGAGUUCUCCCUGACUCCUUGAGAGUCCUGAAGGAACGUUGAAGACGACGACGUUGAUAGGCCGGGUGUGUAAGCGCAGCGAUGCGUUGAGCUAACCGGUACUAAUGAACCGUGAGGCUUAACCUU